UACAGAGACUGCAAGCGUUAUUCGGAUUCACUGGGCGUAAAGGGUGCGCAGGCGGCCAAGUGUGUGAGGCGUGAAAGCCCGGGGCUUAACCCCGGAAUUGCACCUCAAACUACUCGGCUAGAGCAUUGGAGAGGGUAGCAGAAUUCAUGGUGUAGCAGUGAAAUGCGUAGAUAUCAUGAGGAAUACCAGAGGCGAAGGCGGCUACCUGGACAAUUGCUGAAGCUCAGGCACGAAAGCGUGGGGAGCAAAAGGG
rnacentral:rRNA from 1 species